AUCCGGUUGAUGAGUCCCAAAUAGGACGAAGUGUCACGCAUUCCGGAU
rnacentral:hammerhead_ribozyme from 1 species